rnacentral:rRNA from 1 species
AUUGAACGCUGGCGGCAUGCCUUACACAUGCAAGUCGAACGGUAACGGGCCUUCGGGUGCCGACGAGUGGCGAACGGGGGAGUAAUACAUCGGAACGUGCCCGAUCGUGGGGGAUAACGAGGCGAAAGCUUUGCUAAUACCGCAUACGAUCUACGGAUGAAAGCAGGGGACCGCAAGGCCUUGCGCGGGCGGAGCGGCCGAUGGCAGAUGAGGCAGUUGGUGGGAUAAAAGCUUACCAAGCCGACGAUCUGUAGCUGGUCUGAGAGGAUGAUCCGCCACACUGGGACUGAGACACGGCCCAGACUCCUACGGGAGGCAGCAGUGGGGAAUUUUGGACAAUGGGCGCAAGCCUGAUCCAGCCAUGCCGCGUGCAGGAUGAAGGCCUUCGGGUUGUAAACUGCUUUUGUACGGAACGAAAAGCCUUCUUUUAAUACAGGAGGGUCAUGACGGUACCGUAAGAAUAAGCACCGGCUAACUACGUG